UCCGAACGGUGCAAACGAUGAUCGGAAUCAUUGGGCGUAAAGCGCACGCAAGCGGCUUCGCAAGUCGAAUGUGAAAUCCGUAGGCUCACACAAGGAAGUGCAUCCUGAACUGCGAAGCUUGAGUACCAAAGAGGAUCGCGGAAUUCCCGGUGUAGAGGUGAAAUUCGUAGAUAUCGGGAGGAACUCCAGUGGCGAAGGCGGCGAUCUGGGUGGAUACUGACGCUGAGGUGCGAAAGCGUGGGGAGUAAACAGG
rnacentral:rRNA from 1 species